rnacentral:lncRNA from 1 species
ACCAAAGAAUCCCAAAGGACCUGGGAACAGAAAGAAAUUGAAGACAGAGAUGAACACAGAUCAAGAGCCCAGGUUUCUUGAUAUCUAAUACUAAUAUACUGAUGGAGUUAAACAUUCCAAGGAAUAUAGCAUGUCUUGGUCUCUGAGAGCCAAUAUAUCUGGGUUACACUGAAAGAGGAAUAACGAGAUAAUAUUUACACUGUACAUUGAAGAUGACCUGAAAAGCUGGAAGAGGUGACUGAGGGCAUUUUCUCAGUGUGGAUGAAGAAGAGGGGAGGAAGGUCAGACAGACAUCAGCUGGAUGAAGCCCCAGGUUCAAACAAACUUGCCUUGGAUAUCAAAGUACUAGUAGCAAAGGAACUCCCAAUUCCUCACCUGCUGUGAAGUUUCCCAUUCACUGCAAGCAAAGUCCAG